CCUACGGGUGGCAGCAGUGAGGAAUAUUGGUCAAUGGGCGUAAGCCUGAACCAGCCAAGUCGCGUGCGGGAUGAAGGUUCUAUGGAUCGUAAACCUCUUUUAUAAGGGAAUAAAGUGGGGGACGUGUCCUAUUUUGUAUGUACCUUAUGAAUAAGGAUCGGCUAACUCCGUGCCAGCAGCCGCGGUAAUACGGAGGAUCCGAGCGUUAUCCGGAUUUAUUGGGUUUAAAGGGUGCGUAGGCGGCCUUGUAAGUCAGCGGUGAAAGUCUCUGGCUCAACCAUAGAAUUGCCGUUGAUACUGGGGGUCUUGAGAAUGUUUGAGGCAGGCGGAAUGUGUGGUGUAGCGGUGAAAUGCUUAGAGAUCACGCAGAACCCCGAUUGCGAAGGCAGCCUGCCAAGCCAUGACUGACGUUGAUGCACGAAAGCGUGGGGAUCAAACAGGAUUAGAUACCCCGGUAGUC
rnacentral:rRNA from 1 species